ACGGCAAUGAUUGAGUUAAUCAGAGUCCAAUUUACUUGUUCCGGAGGUGAAACUCCAUCCCUGAUUUCCUAUGUGUCUCAACAUGUUUUUCUAGGCCUGAUGGAGCUAAGAAGGCGUAUGUGAGAUUGACAGCUGAUUACGAUGCGCUUGAUGUGGCCAACAAGAUUGGUAUCAUCUAAAUUUUCUGUUCAAUUUGGUAAACAUCUGAAUUGAAAGACGUGGCUUUGGUUUACCUGCCCAGUGCAGUUUCGUCCUUCUGCGCCAAAUUUGCAUUUUUUACCUGCCCACAGAUGUCUCUGGAGCUUGCUUUAUUCGUAGAGUUUGCGAAAACUAAGUUUACGUUAUUCAGGAACUGGGUUGAACUUAUUAUGUUUU
rnacentral:lncRNA from 1 species